GCACUACUGAAGAGUUCCAUACUAGGGCGAAACAGCUGUCCAGUGC
rnacentral:hammerhead_ribozyme from 1 species